rnacentral:rRNA from 1 species
AACUUUCAACAACGGUCUGUGGUUCUGGCAUCGAUGAAGAACGCAGCGAAAUGCGAUAAGUAAUGUGAAUUGCAGAAUUCAGUGAAUCAUCGAAUCUUUGAACGCACAUUGCGCCCGCCAGUAUCCUGGCGGGCAUGCCUGUUCGAGCGUCAUUUCAACCAUCAAGCCCCCG